AAGGUCCAAUUCCACACAGAGUGCAUCCAGAUGCAAGCAAAUGAACUGACAGAAGCAAGAAAAGCUACUGCAUAUACUUACUGAAAAAAACAUAGUGACAAAUGUGUUUCUGAUUUCCUGUGGCUAAUCCAGGAAAUGCAAAGCAUUUUAAAAGACAACGUCACCAUGGUGAGAGGAUAUGGCAUCAGUGUUGAUUGUCCAGAGUUUAAGAGUUGCAGGCACAUGACAAAAAUGUAAAAAUAUAAAAUAAAGACUCUAUUUUACAUGUAUUUCUGUAAGAUACAAGGGACUGGUUACAAAAAACUUUUCAUGUAAAGAAGUCUCUGAAGGUCAGAAUAUGCACAGAUAGAGCAAAAGGCACUGACUUCCUUUGAAAAAUGCCUCAGUAUAACCAUGCUGAAUCAUGUUGAUGAGCAAAAGCUAAUCACAAGCAGUCACCUCAGAGGGAUUGACCCAAGGCCAACUUGAAACAGUACUGAACAAGAAUGGACCUGCCUUCACUACCAAAAGCUGCAGUCUCCUUAUAUAUUUUUUUCAAUCUAUCUCACUGGCUUUUAUAAAUGUGUAAAUAAACUUUCCUCACAAACCUGCCUGGGAACAAGACUUCAAAGGUUGUGAUGACUAAGAUGGUAAUGCAGCAACAUAACAGCAGUGACUUGGAGAAUAUAGCCAAGAUGCUAAAGCUGUUUUGUUCUGGACGGGAUAUGUCACUCAUGACAUGCAAAAGAAAAAUAAUACAUUGAUUUUUGAAAAUGUAAUGCCGUAAGCCAUGGAAAGAUUGACUUAUUUACUGCCUAUGGCCCCAGCCUUAACCAGCAUCAAAGAUACUAGAUGUGUUGGACUAUCACUCCAACUAGGCAGCAUUGCCAAUUAGUGUGCUUGCUAGAUUGAAACGCUGGAAUACAAAGGCUUUAGUAAUAUAGUAAUAUAAAAACAACUUUAGCAAAGUUCCUUUGUGUAAAAUCACAAAAGUCACAUUUCUUUCAAGCCAUGAAAAAAUAUGAGCUUGAAAACUAGGAAGAGAAUAACUAUGGGGGCUCAGCUUCCUAAGCAGUUAGACAUUGCAACAACUGCUCAAUAUAGAUUUAUAAUGAGGUUUGUCCUUGUGUCCACGUCUCCCAGCAUAGUGUUGCCAAAUUUUCUGUUCUUUUCAUAUGAGUCAAUAUUAGAGACUGGAGAUAUGCUGGAACUUGCUACAGGUUCACCACAUACAAAGGGAACCCAAAGAGCACUUCAAGGAGCUUAGACAUGAAGGACCUCAGGUCCAGAACUUAUCAAUUACUCAAAUGAAACUUAAAUUCCCAUCCAGCAUCAAUACUAUUUUUCAUUUCCAGUUUGCUACCAAGCAAAAUGUAUCAGAUUCCUGUGCGCUUCAAGCUCUAACACAUGAAUCUAGGACACAAAGAGUAAUGGCACUUUGGACAUCCAUCUGGUAAGGGGGAAAUAGCAAAAUUCAAAAUAAAAUUCUCCUGGUUCCUGUAGUAAAUCUUUCUUUAACAGAGCAUCCUAUUUGGACAGCCAAAUGAUGAAAUGCAAUUAGUUUUUCAGUGUAUUUUUUCCUCAUUAUUAGAAAUCUGAACUUAAUGUUGCCACAAAGAAAGUUAUACUAUUUCAUGGGAUUUUUCUUCUUUAACCCAUAUAUGUGCAGCUUUCUUAGAAAGAGAGAAAACCCAUUUCGUUAGAAUUCCACAUGACAUGCACUAUGUAUUCUAUAUAAUUCCAUAGACUUUGAUUCUGAGGAAAUAGCAAGGUGUUUGUGACAAAAAUGAUGAAAUUUCUAAUCAAGCCUCCAAAAAAUCAGAAUUUGUACUCUAUGACAAAUUUGUACUCUCACGUGUAUAUACUGUAAACAGUAUCCUGAUGCCUUGCUGUAGGUUAAAAUGUAAUUGGUUGAUUUGCUGUUUAACCUGUUGUGUGAAUUUAGCAAGUAUAUUUAUUUCGUACCUCAGUGGGUUGUGCAAAGACUAGCAAUUGGUUUAAUUCAGUAAACAUUAUUCAUUUGACUUUGGAUUAGUAUGUUGUACAAAUAAAACUACAAUGAUUUCUCAUUCUAAAAUGAGAAAAUGUAUUUUUUAAAAAAACUCAGAAUUGUACAGCACUGGGGCCUUCUAUUAACUUCAUUAAAACCCUUGCUACAUA